rnacentral:rRNA from 1 species
UACGUAGGGUGCGAGCGUUGUCCGGAAUUAUUGGGCGUAAAGAGCUCGUAGGCGGUGUGUCACGUCGGCCGUGAAAACCUGCAGCUUAACUGUGGGCGUGCGGUCGAUACGGGCAUCACUGGAGUUCGGCAGGGGAGACUGGAAUUCCUGGUGUAGCGGUGAAAUGCGCAGAUAUCAGGAGGAACACCGGUGGCGAAGGCGGGUCUCUGGGCCGAUACUGACGCUGAGGAGCGAAAGCGUGGUGAGCAAACAGG